rnacentral:lncRNA from 1 species
CCAUAAGAUAAGGUGCCCUUCGCAGCCCUGAUGACUUGAGAGGGGGGAGUCCUGCAGAGUAAAGAGGGAAACUUGAUUUGUGUUGCCAGGCUCUUCUUCAUCAGAGAAAUCUGGGACCAGGUCUGGGGCUCAGAAAAUGCCAAGGAGGCGGCUUUGAUGGUUCCAUUUCCCUGGAGAACCCUGACUAGUACAAGCAGACUGUGGUGCUUCACAGCCUCUGAAGCCUGUCUCUGAGCUCACAUGAAGCUGUUCCCUUGGUAAGCAUGCCUGUUUCUCCACAACGUAAUCUUGCCCCUCUAAGGACCAUCUUUGGUGAGUAACUAUGGAGGGGCCAU